rnacentral:lncRNA from 1 species
UAACCAUGUCUUUUUAUUUUAUGUAUAUUUAUGGUUUGACAUUGGAGUCUGGCUGAGCCUGGGGGGACUGGCAGUCAGUUAGCUUACUACUGUCUCUAGUUAGCCGAUUCCUAGAGACAGUGAAGGACCCCCGCCUCCAGAGAGAGCCUUUCAAAUGCACAUGAACCAAUCCAAAGCCCAUGCCCCUAACCACGUCCUCUACUGGGGAUCUCAAAUUCAACAUGAUUCCCCCUGCCCUGAUCACCCCAAACCAGGUACCAGACAGUUAGGGACAGGCCCUAUGCCCAGAGUCUGCUGAAAUUAUUCAAGCUCUCCACCCUGAGCCUGCUCACCCUGCCUUGCCUGCUCCUUCCCAUGGAAUCCUCUCCCCAGCAUUCUCCCCCUGCUCACUCUGCCUCCUGCCUGACCCGGGUGCUACCCGUGUGGCCACACACUGUAGGCGCUCACUCCUCUUGGCAUCUGUGAGCAUCAGACUUUUUUUUCAAUGGUAGUCAUCUCCUAUCUACUGGUCUUGCCCUAUCAAAAUUAUAACAAAACCUGUGCUUUAAAACAGUAUAGGGAAGAAAAGAAGUUAAUUCUUGGCAUUUCAGGGCCUCUGUAGCUGCGGUACUGGCAUAUGAACAAACAACUACAUUAACAACAAAAAAGAUUGGAAAGGAUGCACAUUCUAAAAUUUGGAGAAGAGGAAAGAAGAAGAGAGAUGUGGAGGUCAUAGGGCGGGCCCCAAAACUGACCUAUUCAUGCCCCUCUGCUCCCUUCCCCAGGGCUCAGCUUGAAGGAAGAGGUCAGGGUGCUGAACGAUGGCCUGAGACACCCUAAUAACCAACACAACCAACACCCCUUCUCUCUGCAGGUUCUCUCUGCAGCUCUAGCACCUGGCAUCCUCAGACAUCUUCUUAAUACUCACGCAAGUUCUACAGAUGAGAAAAUGAGGCUUCAAAAGAUGAAGACCACACGAUGACUGAAUGGAUGGUGCUGAGUUAUAAUAGCAGUAUCUGUCAUGUAUGGGUUGCUUCCUAUGGGAUAAGCACAAUGAUGCCAUUUCAUUUUAUCCACUCAAUGGCAUACACUGGGAUAGCAUAACAAUAGAACACAUGGGACUCUGAAUUCUGCAGGCUAGGUUUAAUUCUGUUUCUGCUACAUAAUAGCAAAAGAGUUCAUCUUGAUUCUGCUACAUAAUAGCAAAACAGUUCAUCUUGAUUCUGCUACAUAAUAGCAAAACAGUUCAUCUUGCUUUAAGUCAUAAGUCACGGCUCCGAAAAGGACACCCCAAGUAUGGCCUUGACCUGCUGAGGACUUUGAACUAAAGGGCAUUGGAAAGCCUCAGAAGCAGCCUCAGAACCAAGUCUCUGACCUUCUCCUGCCCUCCUGUCUCUCGCCCCUCAUUCCCCCAAGAAGUGAGUCAUAGAAACCAGAAAUCCUCUUCCCUAAAGCAGGUCACGGAAACUAGAAUCUCUUUCCCCAAAGCCAGCCAUUAGAAACUAGAAUCACUACUGGAACUUUCCCUGCCUUUCUGAGUAAGAGCUGGCCAUAAAGAAGUUCUCUGACUUACUUUCCUGAAAGUAGGUUAUAAGACCCUCAUUCCAGAAGGGGCCCUGCCCUACACGCAGGAAGAAGGAACGCCACACAGGGAGGCCAAGAGGAACCCAGACAGGCCCAGCUGGGUCCCCCUCUGUCUGUCACUGUCCCAUCGCUCCCUCUGUGUCCAGUCACAGCUCCGCAGGGCUACCACUCUUCAUCAAAUCUAAGCAUAGAAAUGGGCAGUUUUCCCUUGGUUCUUUGGGUCUUCAUUUCCUAAGGCUCCCAUGUUAUGUAAAACUUUGAUUAAACAAAUCUGUGUGCUUUUCUCUUGUUAACCUGUCUUUUGUUACAGGAGAAUCGGCAGUGGCCCCUUAGCAUGGUGGCACACGUCUGUAAUCCCAGUGCCUGCGGGCAGGGCUAGCUGUCGUUUGAUUCACUGCUGUCACAUUGGAGUGGAGAAGUGCCCAGGAUGCAGGAGAUACUCAGUAAACGCUACUGACUGAGUAACUGUGAGAAAGAAGAAUUCUAUAGUGGAAUUAACAGAGCUGUUCCCGAUUAGUGAUUGAAACAGGACUAUGUGUGAUCUGAGAGGACAGAGACGAGGAGAUGGGACCGAGACUGAGUCACACAGUUCCCGCACUGGCCAUUCUGUGGCUCCCUUAGCCCAGGCCUGGAGAGUUAAACAGCAAAACCUGGAUGGGAAAACCAGGGUUCCCAACUGCGAAAUUUAGGAAGUAACAAGUCAUCAUCUUCUGCAAAGUGAGAGGGAAAUUUUCAGAAAGCAUUAAACAGUGACUUUCUUCUCAUCACAACUUAGGGCCAUUGCCAGAUGUUUGUGCCUGGCCACAGUUCACGUGGGGAGGAGACAAUUCUGGCUGACUAGCCACUGUGGGAGGCAUUCAUCCUGUAGAUGUUCUGGAGGGUGACAGAUCUUCAGUUUCAGCAUCACACAUAACCGGCUAGAGGCAAAUUUGUAAGGAGACAUUCACUGCUUGAGAUGUGACUUACUAUCUGUAGACAGAGAAACCAGAUUUUUCUAUAGCUGUAAUAAAUGCCCUUUAUCAAGAAAGUGGCUAGCCCAUUAUAAACUCAUUGG